rnacentral:tRNA from 1 species
GAAUGUGGCGUAACAGGAUAGAGCAACGGACUUCGAAUCCGUAGGUUGCAGGUUCGAGUCCUGCCACUCG